GGGCCCGCACAAGCAGCGGAGCAUGUGGUUUAAUUCGAAGCAACGCGAAGAACCUUACCAAGACUUGACAUCCCGUGCAAUCUGUUGAAAGGCAGAGUCCCUUCGGGGCGCGGAGACAGGUGGUGCAUGGUUGUCGUCAGCUCGUGUCGUGAGAUGUUGGGUUAAGUCCCGCAACGAGCGCAACCCUUACACUCAGUUACCAGCGGGUAAAGCCGGGGACUCUGGGAGGACUGCCGAGGACAACUCGGAGGAAGGUGGGGACGACGUCAAAUCAUCAUGCCCCUUACGUCUUGGGCUACACACGUGCUACAAUGGCCGCAACAGAGGGCAGCGAAACCGCGAGGUGGAGCGAAUCCCAGAAAGCGGUCCCAGUUCGGAUUGUGGGCUGCAACCCGCCCACAUGAAGUCGGAGUUGCUAGUAAUCGCGGAUCAGCAUGCCG
rnacentral:rRNA from 1 species